UACAGAGGGGGCGAGCGUUGUUCGGAAUUACUGGGCGUAAAGAGCGCGCAGGCGGUCGGCCAAGUCGAGUGUGAAAGCCCCCGGCUCAACUGGGGAGGGUCAUUCGAUACUGGUCGACUCGAAGGCAGGAGAGGGAAGCGGAAUUCCCGGUGUAGUGGUGAAAUGCGUAGAUAGUCGGAGGAACACCAGUGGCGAAGGCGGCUUCCUGGCCUGUUCUUGACGCUGAGGCGCGAAAGCUAGGGUAGCAAACGGG
rnacentral:rRNA from 1 species